UUUCUUUCCUACUUUUCUUCUUUAUUUUCUUUCACUAAAAUUUUAUAGAAUCAAACAUAAUGAUUGGUUGUUUCUUUGGGUACAUUCCUUCUGUUGCUUGUUUCUCCUUCCUCUUUUUCUUGCUUUUGCUUGGUCUUGGCUCCUGUAUUGCUUUAAUAGCAUGCGGAGAGAGUCCUAUUUUCUAGUUUAGCUGUUGGGAGUUAUCAUAGGCAGACAACAGAUUUGAGCCGGGCUUCAAGACUCAUGGAGGUAAUUUCUUUGAUUGCCAACCAAAUAAUAAAUCUUCUGUAAAUAAGUGAAAACCUCAUUAAUAAAUUGAGUUUUUUCCCCCUUGAUUCUUUUGCUGCAGUUGUUAGGUUUUGAUUGUUAUCCUUUAUUCCUUUUCUGUUUUUGUGCUUAACAUAAGUUGAUUCUAGCAACAAGGCUUUAGAAAUUCUGGGUUUGUGUUUAGCUUAACAAAAGCAACUCAACUCCACCUUUUGUUUCUUCCAACAGUCAUUAUCAGGUACUAUUUUCUCCCAGUAUCUGAGAUUCUCAAUCAUUUUGGGGUCUUCCCCCUCAAAUUUCUUUUUGGUUUUUCAGCCUAACAUUUUGCUCAAUUUUUUGUUGUGCUUUUACCCAAAAUGUUCACUAUUUAUUACAGGUUGCAGUAUGCCUGGACAGGCAGACUCUAAUUUGCUCAAGAAAAUCAAUGCAGGCUUAGGUUGAAAGGAUGCCCGCACUUGCCCUCCUCAUAAUCAGACUCCUGGAAAAAAAUUCUCAUCUAUUUUGGCUAGGCUUGAGGCUUGUUUAUCCUCUGAGAGAAGGUAGAAAAGGGAGUACCAAAUUCCAUUCUUUUAAACAUUAAGAUUUAAGAGAAAUUCUCAGAGGCUUUUUCUUUUAGAGUGGCAGAUGAACACAGGAGUAAUCAGAUUUAUAUAUGGAUGUAGCAGUGGACCACGCUUUCGCUAAAAUUUGUGGCUUGAUCCUUUUGCUCGCAAAAAGGUUAGGGAAAAUUUUAAGGGAUCAAGUAUUUAAUAAAAUAAUGGAAUUCAUGAUU